CCAAUAGCGUAUAUUAAAGUUGUUGCAGUUAAAAAGCUCGUAGUUGAAUUUCGGGAUCAAUUUAUCGGUCGUGCAAUAGUACGUACUGGUUUUAUUGGUUCCUACCUUCUGAUGAACCAUGAUGCCAUUAAUUUGGUGUCAUGGGGAAUCAGGACUGUUACUUUGAAAAAAUUAGAGUGUUUAAAGCAGGCUCACGCUUGAAUACAUUAGCAUGGAAUAAUGAAAUAGGACGUUUGAUUCUAUUUUGUUGGUUUCUAGGAUCGACGUAAUGAUUAAUAGGGAUAGUUGGGGGCAUUAGUAUUCAAUUGUCAGAGGUGAAAUUCUUGGAUUUAUUGAAGACUAACUACUGCGAAAGCAUUUGCCAAGGAUGUUUUCAUUAAUCAAGAACGAAAGUUAGGGGAUCGAAGACGAUCAGAUACCGUCGUAGUCUUAACCAUAAACUAUGCCGACUAGGGAUCGGAUGAUGUUAAUUUUUUAAUGACUCA
rnacentral:rRNA from 1 species